GUCUCUGAUGAUGAUCCAAAUAAAACUUUCGUUCUUCUGAAUAUCUUUGUGGAAACGAUUAUUGGAGACCUGAACUGAAGAGGC
rfam:Helianthus annuus linkage group 8, whole genome shotgun sequence.